rnacentral:lncRNA from 1 species
GUUAUUUGAUGUGGUAAGACUCAAGCCUCUGUUAGUGUAAGAGAGAAGCUAGAAAAAAAAUGUCUUUGAGCUGUGAGAUGCUUGUGUAUUUUGAAAAUGUGAUUAUAUGCAUGUGUUUGUAUUUUAUGACUUGGAUAAUCUGAAAAUCAAUUUGCUUUGUCAAUGCUUCCUGGAUUAGAAUUCCACUAUUUGGUCCCUAUCCUAGGUAAGACAUUGUUUGCAAAUUGUGCUACUUGUGAGAUGUUGCAGUGGUUGCUAAGGCAUUUAAGGUACUGAUGAAAGUAAAAUGGUUGUCAUGGUGACUGAUAAAAAUAAAUGUUGAAAAUGCCCUGGGUUCUUUCUUUUCCAGUCUACUAAAGAAAAUUGAGCGGGAAACAUGGCGGGAAAGUGGCGUUUCAUUAAUUGCUACUGUAACUCGUCUAAUGGAGAGGUUGUUAGAUUACAGGGACUGCAUGAAAAUGGGAGAGGUAGAUGGCAAAAAGAUUGGCUGCACGGUUAGCCUUCUGAACUUUUAUAAGACUGAACUGAAUAAGGAAGAGAUGUAUAUACGCUACAUUCACAAACUCUAUGAUCUGCAUCUCAAAGCACAGAACUUCACAGGUAAUUCUGUCUUUUGGCAUUGGAGAAG